rnacentral:ncRNA from 13 species
GGACCCUUAGCUCAGUUGGUUAGAGCAUCCGGCUCAUAACCGGAUGGUCACUGGUUCAAGUCCAGUAGGGUCCA